rnacentral:lncRNA from 1 species
UUGGUUUUCAGGAAUGGUCAAGGAUAAUGCUGAGAUUCACUUAUUUGGUUGAGAAACACAGCGAAGAGCUCGCAUCGAUCUCUAGAGACAUGGGACAAUCAAUGUUUACACUUAUGAACAAGCCAAAACAGCACAUAUGGUAUUAUCGUUGGAAUAAUCAGAAUGCCAUCGUCCUUCAUAAUGAAAGAGUGAAAAUACACACCUUGAGAAGUGAGCCAAUAACUACCCGCAUCUGAUUCCUAAUAGAGUCCAGGUUCU